CCUCUCUGAGACGAGCCGAAGCGGGGGGCGCUUGUUCUGGAGCAGCGGAGACGCCAGUCUGAAAGGAGGCGGGCGGAGCAGCGACUGGUGGCGGGUCUGCUGGAACAAUUCUUUGGUGCAGGGCUGUGAGAAUAUCAGAUAAUUGCUCCAAUCGCUGGUUAGUACUUCGUUGUUGAUCAACUAGUGCGUUGAGCAUGGAAUCGUGGCGAGCGAUGAGUGCGUGAUCCAGACUGGUGUUAUGUGGUGGUUCUGCUGGGUCUGACUGGCUAGAUGGUUCUGUCAUGGGAGUGCUACGGUGCCUAGGGCGGGUGCGAGGCGGAAUCGCGGGUGGUUGGAGCGAGAUGGGGUCGGUGGAAACGGCGGAGCAGGCAGGCAGGUAUUCUCGGCAAGUUCUUGA